AAGGAUCAUUAUCAAUAAAACCGAAAGGUUUAGCCCUUUGUGAACCAAAAAAACUUUAGCUUCGGCAGCUGGUCUGACAUAGACCGUCAGUCUGCCGGUAGCACCAAAUUUAAACUGCAUAUAAUCUUGUCUGUAAUUAUUUAUUGAAUAAUCAAAACUUUCAACAACGGAUCUCUUGGUUCUC
rnacentral:misc_RNA from 1 species